AUUGAACGCUGGCGGCAUGCCUUACACAUGCAAGUCGAACGGUAACGGGCCUUCGGGUGCCGACGAGUGGCGAACGGGUGAGUAAUGUAUCGGAACGUACCUUUCAGUGGGGGAUAACGUAGCGAAAGUUACGCUAAUACCGCAUAUUCUGUGCGCAGGAAAGCAGGGGAUCGCAAGACCUUGCGCUGAUUGAGCGGCCGAUAUCAGAUUAGCUAGUUGGUGAGGUAAAGGCUCACCAAGGCGACGAUCUGUAGCGGGUCUGAGAGGAUGAUCCGCCACACUGGAACUGAGACACGGUCCAGACUCCUACGGGAGGCAGCAGUGGGGAAUUUUGGACAAUGGGGGCAACCCUGAUCCAGCCAUGCCGCGUGAGUGAAGAAGGCCUUCGGGUUGUAAAGCUCUUUCGGCCGGGAAGAAAUCGCAUGGGCUAAUACCCUGUGCGGAUGACGGUACCGGCAUAAGAAGCACCGGCUAACUACGUGCCAGCCGCCGCAGUAA
rnacentral:rRNA from 1 species